CAGCUUGUUGGUGAGGUAAUGGCUCACCAAGGCGUCGACGGGUAGCCGGCCUGAGAGGGUGACCGGCCACACUGGGACUGAGACACGGCCCAGACUCCUACGGGAGGCAGCAGUGGGGAAUAUUGCACAAUGGGCGGAAGCCUGAUGCAGCAACGCCGCGUGAGGGAUGACGGCCUUCGGGUUGUAAACCUCUUUUAGCAGGGAAGAAGCGAGAGUGACGGUACCUGCAGAAAAAGCGCCGGCUAACUACGUGCCAGCAGCCGCGGUAAUACGUAGGGCGCAAGCGUUAUCCGGAAUUAUUGGGCGUAAAGAGCUCGUAGGCGGUUUGUCGCGUCUGCUGUGAAAUCCCGAGGCUCAACCUCGGGUCUGCAGUGGGUACGGGCAGACUAGAGUGCGGUAGGGGAGAUUGGAAUUCCUGGUGUAGCGGUGGAAUGCGCAGAUAUCAGGAGGAACACCGAUGGCGAAGGCAGAUCUCUGGGCCGUAACUGACGCUGAGGAGCGAAAGGGUGGGGAGCAAACAGGCUUAGAUACCCUGGUAGUCCACCCCGU
rnacentral:rRNA from 1 species